ensembl:lncRNA
GGGAGAGGUGGUCCUGUGUUGAGUAGGCUUUAUAGUCAGUAGGGGGAGAGGUGAUCCUGUGUUGAGUAGGCUUUAUAGUCAGUAGGGGGAGAGGUGGUCCUGUGUUGAGUAGGCUUUAUAGUCAGUAGGGGGAGAGGUGGUCCUGUGUUGAGUAGGCUUUAUAGUCAGUAGUGGGAGAGGUGGUCCUGUGUUGAGUAGGCUUUAUAGUCAGUAGUGGGAGAGGUGGUCCUGUGUUGAGUAGGCUUUAUAGUCAGUAGUGGGAGAGGUGGUCCUGUGUUGAGUAGGCUUUAUAGUCAGUAAGGGGAGAGGUGAUCCUGCGUUCAGCAGCUCAGUAGUCUGGUGUUAUGGGA